rnacentral:rRNA from 1 species
GAGUUUGAUCGUGGCUCAGAGUGAACGCUGGCGGCAGGCCUAACACAUGCAAGUCGAACGGCAGCACAGCAGUAGCAAUACUGUGGGUGGCGAGUGGCGGACGGGUGAGGAAUACAUGGGAAUCUGCCCUGUCGUGGGGGAUAACGUAGGGAAACUUACGCUAAUACCGCAUACGACCGAGAGGUGAAAGCGGCGGACCGCAAGGCGUCGCGCGAUUGGAUGAGCCCAUGUCGGAUUAGCUAGUUGGCGGGGUAAAGGCCCACCAAGGCGACGAUCCGUAGCUGGUCUGAGAGGAUGAUCAGCCACACUGGGACUGAGACACGGCCCAGACUCCUACGGGAGGCAGCAGUGGGGAAUCUUGGACAAUGGGCGCAAGCCUGAUCCAGCCAUGCCGCGUGAGUGAAGAAGGCCUUAGGGUUGUAAAACUCUUUCGCCGGAGAAGAUAAUGACGGUAUCCGGAGAAGAAGCCCCGGCUAACUUCGUGCCAGCCGCCGCCGU